GCUCCAUCGAUGUCACCUCUGCCUCCCCGCCCUCCCUCGCCACCGAGGAAAAAGCAGGUGAAGAGAAAGCACUGCUCUAGGGAUCGCUCAGCCUCACCUCAUAGAGACAGCAGAGACGGGCGCAAGCGCUCCCGACGUCGUCAUAGAUCGACGUCGAGUGACUCCUCCUCCUCUGACUCUCAUUGUCGUCGUCGCAAGCGUCGAUCCAGACGCCGCUCUUAUUCUCCUUCACCGUCGACGUCGCCCGACCGUCGUCAUCGACGUCGGAGGAUCAAAUACAUUUACCUCUCCUCCUCUUCCUCUUCUUCGCCAUCGACCCCACCUAGGAAACAUCGACGUCGACAUAGGAAAAGGGUAGCAGACACCGAUCACCCUGCUCCGCUACCAGUUCCGCCUACUGCUCCACUCCCUGCGGCCCCGUCGACAUCGACUGCACCUCCCACCGCUCCUCCUCCCCCGCAACCUGUUCCUACGGUCGUGCCGCAAGCCCCACAUCCACAUCGACCGAGGGGCCAUGAGCUGUCGUCUGAUGAUGAUGUUUCUUUCUCGUCACAGGAUUCUGAAUCGGAGGAAGAGCCACCUCCUCCGACUACACCACACGAUUUACCGGUGGGGGAAACAGUAGAAUCGGACACGGGCAACCCUCACGAUUCCUCACCUUCGGAGGACUUCUCCUCAUAUGCACAAAUGCUAUCGAGGCUCGCGAAAACACUAAAGCUACACGUUGACGAACCUGCUCCUCCGGAAGAGGACCUCAUCUUCGGUGAUAUUAGUAAAGAGCGUUCACCACCUCCUAGCCUUUGCUUUUUACCUGCCCUACUGAAGAUUAUCCAGGAGUUCUGGGAGCAUCCUUCGACAUCGGUGCCCUUACCCAAGAGGACUGAGCAUAUGUAUAAGAUUGUCGGGGAGGAUGCCAAGUUCCUCUUAAAACAUCCUAUCCCUAAUUCUCUCAUAGUGGAGACGAGCUGCACUAAACCAUCAGGAAGAGCACAUGUGGUCCCCACUAACAAGGAAGGAAAAAAGCUUGAAUUAAUCGGCAGAAGACUUUAUUCCCUAAUUGCAUUCAUACUCAGAGUUGCUAAUUAUCAGACUGCUCUAGGAGCAUAUCAAAAGCAGCUAUGGAUUAAGACGUUGCCAGCU
rnacentral:lncRNA from 1 species